rnacentral:sRNA from 1 species
GGACCUGACACCUGCCCAGCUCACACGAAGGAUUCAGAGCCUUAAAAAGAAGAUCCGGAAGUUUGAAGAUAGAUUCGAAGAAGAGAAGAAGUACAGACCUUCCCACAGUGACAAAGCAGCCAAUCCAGAGGUUCUGAAAUGGACAAAUGACCUUGCCAAAUUCCGGAGACAACUUAAAGAAUCAAAACUAAAGAUAUCUGAAGAGGACCUAACUCCCAGGAUGCGGCAGCGAAGCAACACACUCCCCAAGAGUUUUGGUUCCCAACUUGAGAAAGAAGAUGAGAAGAAGCAAGAGCUGGUGGAUAAAGCAAUAAAGCCCAGUGUUGAAGCCACAUUGGAAUCUAUUCAGAGGAAGCUCCAGGAGAAGCGAGCGGAAGGCAGCCGCCCUGAGGACAUUAAGGAUAUGACCAAAGACCAGAUUGCUAAUGAGAAAGUGGCUCUGCAGAAGGCUCUGUUAUAUUAUGAAAGCAUUCAUGGACGGCCGGUAACAAAGAACGAACGGCAGGUGAUGAAGCCACUAUAUGACAGGUACCGGCUGGUCAAACAGAUCCUGUCCCGAGCUAACACCAUACCCAUCAUUGGUUCCCCCUCCAGCAAGCGGAGAAGCCCUUUGCUGCAGCCAAUUAUCGAGGGCGAAACUGCUUCCUUCUUCAAGGAGAUAAAGGAAGAAGAGGAAGGGUCAGAAGAUGAUAGCAAUGUGAAGCCAGACUUCAUGGUCACUCUGAAAACCGAUUUCAGUGCACGAUGCUUUCUGGACCAAUUCGAAGAUGAUGCUGAUGGGUUUAUUUCCCCAAUGGAUGAUAAAAUACCAUCAAAAUGCAGCCAGGACACAGGACUUUCAAAUCUCCAUGCUGCCUCAAUGUAUGUCAUUUUGGUGGUGGUGGUGAAAUGUUUUGGUAAAAAUAGCUCUCUUAAAUAUUAUCUUAGCCUUUGUAUCUAAAUAAAUUAGCUGAUAAAAUACAAGUGACUACCUGGGGUAUAUCUGGAUAAAACAGUGAUUUUUUUUUUAAUUUCUUUUUUUAUAUGCUUC